AUACGGAGGGGGUUAGCGUUGUUCGGAAUUACUGGGCGUAAAGCGUACGUAGGCGGACUGGAAAGUUGGGGGUGAGAUCCCGGGGCUCAACCCCGGAACUGCCUCCAAAACUUCCAAUCUAGAGAUCGAGAGAGGUGAGUGGAAUUCCAAGUGUAGAGGUGAAAUUCGUAGAUAUUUGGAGGAACACCAGUGGCGAAGGCGGCUCACUGGCUCGAUACUGACGCUGAGGUACGAAAGCGUGGGGAGCAAACAGGAUUAGAUACCCUAGUAGUCC
rnacentral:rRNA from 1 species